rnacentral:rRNA from 1 species
CUCCAAGGCUAAAUACUCCUGACUGACCGAUAGUGAACCAGUACCGUGAGGGAAAGGCGAAAAGAACCCCGGCGAGGGGAGUGAAAAAGAACCUGAAACCGUGUACGUACAAGCAGUGGGAGCCUCUUUAUGGGGUGACUGCGUACCUUUUGUAUAAUGGGUCAGCGACUUAUAUUCUGUAGCAAGGUUAACCGAAUAGGGGAGCCGAAGGGAAACCGAGUCUUAACUGGGCGUUAAGUUGCAGGGUAUAGACCCGAAACCCGGUGAUCUAGCCAUGGGCAGGUUGAAGGUUGGGUAACACUAACUGGAGGACCGAACCGACUAAUGUUGAAAAAUUAGCGGAUGACUUGUGGCUGGGGGUGAAAGGCCAAUCAAACCGGGAGAUAGCUGGUUCUCCCCGAAAGCUAUUUAGGUAGCGCCUCGUGAAUUCAUCUCCGGGGGUAGAGCACUGUUUCGGCAAGGGGGUCAUCCCGACUUACCAACCCGAUGCAAACUGCGAAUACCGGAGAAUGUUAUCACGGGAGACACACGGCGGGUGCUAACGUCCGUCGUGAAGAGGGAAACAACCCAGACCGCCAGCUAAGGUCCCAAAGUCAUGGUUAAGUGGGAAACGAUGUGGGAAGGCCCAGACAGCCAGGAUGUUGGCUUAGAAGCAGCCAUCAUUUAAAGAAAGCGUAAUAGCUCACUGGUCGAGUCGGCCUGCGCGGAAGAUGUAACGGGGCUAAACCAUGCACCGAAGCUACGGCAGCGACGCUUAUGCGUUGUUGGGUAGGGGAGCGUUCUGUAAGCCUGCGAAGGUGUGCUGUGAGGCAUGCUGGAGGUAUCAGAAGUGCGAAUGCUGACAUAAGUAACGAUAAA